CUCCCCUUUGCCUGUGAUCGAAUUACUGUUCACAAUGGGCUAAUGUAAUUAUCACAGGCAGGAAAAUACAGUUUUUAUACAAUUCCUAUAACUUUAAAAGUAUACAUGCAAUUUUAAUAAAAGUUACAUAUUCGAACUCUGACUGCGUUCGACUAAAUAAAGAUGGCCACCGCCACGUGUUCGGUUGUCAAAUGGCGGCCACUUCGACUACUUCGGCUGCAUCCGAAGUGCCAAUUUAAAGUUGCAGAAUUAUGCCAGUACCAUUUAAAGGGCCAGAACAGUCUUUUAAAAUACCAAUAAGUCCAAAU